AGAACGAACGCUGGCGGCAGGCCUCAAACAUGCAAGUCUAGGGGGCGUAGCAAUACGUCACCGGCGGACGGGUGCGUAACACGUGGGAAUGUACUUAUUGGUUCGGAACAACUCAGGGAAACUUGAGCUAAUACCGAAUGUGCCCGAAAGGGGAAAGAUUUAUCGCCAAUAAAUCAGCCCGCGUCCGAUUAGCUAGUUGGUGGGGUAAAGGCCCACCAAGGCGACGAUCGGUAGCUGUUCUGAGAGGAAGAUCAGCCACACUGGGACUGAGACACGGCCCAGACUCCUACGGGAGGCAGCAGUUGGGAAUCUUGGACAAUGGGGAAACCCUGAUCCAGCCAUGCCGCGUGAGUGAUGAAGGCCUUCGGGUUGUAAAACUCUUUCGACGGGGACGAUAAUGACGGUACCCGUAGAAGAAGCUCCGGCUAACUUCGUGCCAGCAGCCGC
rnacentral:rRNA from 1 species